AAAUUGAAGAGUUUGAUCAUGGCUCAGAUUGAACGCUGGCGGCAGGCCUAACACAUGCAAGUCGAACGGUAACAGGAAGCAGCUUGCUGCUUCGCUGACGAGUGGCGGACGGGUGAGUAAUGUCUGGGAAACUGCCUGAUGGAGGGGGAUAACUACUGGAAACGGUAGCUAAUACCGCAUAACGUCGCAAGACCAAAGAGGGGGACCUUCGGGCCUCUUGCCAUCGGAUGUGCCCAGAUGGGAUUAGCUUGUUGGUGGGGUAACGGCUCACCAAGGCGACGAUCCCUAGCUGGUCUGAGAGGAUGACCAGCCACACUGGAACUGAGACACGGUCCAGACUCCUACGGGAGGCAGCAGUGGGGAAUAUUGCACAAUGGGCGCAAGCCUGAUGCAGCCAUGCCGCGUGUAUGAAGAAGGCCUUCGGGUUGUAAAGUACUUUCAGCGGGGAGGAAGGGAGUAAAGUUAAUACCUUUGCUCAUUGACGUUACCCGCAGAAGAAGCACCGGCUAACUCCGUGCCAGCAGCCGCGGUAAUACGGAGGGUGCAAGCGUUAAUCGGAAUUACUGGGCGUAAAGCGCACGCAGGCGGUUUGUUAAGUCAGAUGUGAAAUCCCCGGGCUCAACCUGGGAACUGCAUCUGAUACUGGCAAGCUUGAGUCUCGUAGAGGGGGGUAGAAUUCCAGGUGUAGCGGUGAAAUGCGUAGAGAUCUGGAGGAAUACCGGUGGCGAAGGCGGCCCCCUGGACGAAGACUGACGCUCAGGUGCGAAAGCGUGGGGAGCAAACAGGAUUAGAUACCCUGGUAGUCCACGCCGUAAACGAUGUCGACUUGGAGGUUGUGCCCUUGAGGCGUGGCUUCCGGAGCUAACGCGUUAAGUCGACCGCCUGGGGAGUACGGCCGCAAGGUUAAAACUCAAAUGAAUUGACGGGGGCCCGCACAAGCGGUGGAGCAUGUGGUUUAAUUCGAUGCAACGCGAAGAACCUUACCUGGUCUUGACAUCCACAGAACUUUCCAGAGAUGGAUUGGUGCCUUCGGGAGCUGUGAGACAGGUGCUGCAUGGCUGUCGUCAGCUCGUGUUGUGAAAUGUUGGGUUAAGUCCCGCAACGAGCGCAACCCUUAUCCUUUGUUGCCAGCGGUCCGGCCGGGAACUCAAAGGAGACUGCCAGUGAUAAACUGGAGGAAGGUGGGGAUGACGUCAAGUCAUCAUGGCCCUUACGACCAGGGCUACACACGUGCUACAAUGGCGCAUACAAAGAGAAGCGACCUCGCGAGAGCAAGCGGACCUCAUAAAGUGCGUCGUAGUCCGGAUUGGAGUCUGCAACUCGACUCCAUGAAGUCGGAAUCGCUAGUAAUCGUGGAUCAGAAUGCCACGGUGAAUACGUUCCCGGGCCUUGUACACACCGCCCGUCACACCAUGGGAGUGGGUUGCAAAAGAAGUAGGUAGCUUAACCUUCGGGAGGGCGCUUACCACUUUGUGAUUCAUGACUGGGGUGAAGUCGUAACAAGGUAACCGUAGGGGAACCUGCGGUUGGAUCACCUCCUUACCUUAAAGAAGC
rnacentral:rRNA from 1 species